AGCUGAGUGUCAGGGAACUGCCAUCGGAAGGAAGGGAGGUGAAAGGACUCAGACAGGUUGGAAGAGAUUCAGCAGCUGAAGAGGGAACCAGCAAGGGGAGAGAAGCUGAACUGAGGGAGGUGAAAGGACUCAGACAGGUUGGAAGAGAUUCAGCAGCUGAAGAGGGAACCAGCAAGGGGAGAGAAGCUGAACUGAGGGAGGUGAAAGGGCUCAGACAGGUUGGAAGAGACUCAGCAGCGGAAGAGGAAACCAGCAGGGGGAGACAAGCUGAACUGAGGGAAGGG